rnacentral:rRNA from 1 species
CAGUAGCCGCGGUAAUACGGAGGGUGCAAGCGUUAAUCGGAAUUACUGGGCGUAAAGCGCACGCAGGCGGUUUGUUAAGUCAGAUGUGAAAUCCCCGGGCUCAACCUGGGAACUGCAUUUGAAACUGGCAAGCUAGAGUCUCGUAGAGGGGGGUAGAAUUCCAGGUGUAGCGGUGAAAUGCGUAGAGAUCUGGAGGAAUACCGGUGGCGAAGGCGGCCCCCUGGACGAAGACUGACGCUCAGGUGCGAAAGCGUGGGGAGCAAACAGGAUUAGAUACCCGGGUAGUCCCUGUCUCUUAUAC